rnacentral:tmRNA from 1 species
CAAUUCCCGGAUGCGGGGGUGCGGGCGCCAAAAGUCCGGGAUGCGGCUGCUUCGACGCCGAUAAGCAGUAGUCAAAGACAGAUCGGCUGGCGUCUCGGAGAUUCGGCCGGUGGAAGCACCGAGAGGCGAGAAACAAACCACCGGACAAGCUUGUAGCAUAUCCGACCAGGGGGCCUUUUGGACGGGGAGUUCAACUCUCCCCCGUCUCCACCA